rnacentral:rRNA from 1 species
UACGGAGGGUGCGAGCGUUGUCCGGAAUCAUUGGGCGUAAAGGGCGCGUAGGUGGCCACUUCAAGCGUGCGGUGAAAGUCGGGGGCUCAACCCCUGAUCGGCCGUGCGAACUGGGGGGCUGGAGCACUGUAGAGGCAGGCGGAAUUCCGGGUGUGAGCGGUGGAAUGCGUAGAGAUCCGGAAGAACACCGGUGGCGAAGGCGGCCUGCUGGGCAGUUUUGCUGACACUGAGGCGCGACAGCGUGGGGGAGCAAACAGG